AGUCAUAGUUGCUAUUCUCGUGAAAUAGUAGGUGUGAUUAGCGAUGCGGGCGUGUUGGCGCACACCCGCAUCGCGCA
rfam:Kluyvera ascorbata ATCC 33433 GKAS.assembly.016, whole genome shotgun sequence.